CCACAGGACCUCCUUCAGGACCUUCUUCAUGUGUUUACGCCCCAGACACAUCUGACCAAUGAGUGGAGUGAAUGUUGUGGCUUGUCUUGAUGCAUUUUUGGCUCGGAUUUCUCUUUGUGUGAAAGAGCAAACAAACUAUAGGUGUGAAAAGGCCCUAAGAUAUGAGCAGGGGGAGACCAAAGCGCAGCCAGAAGGAGAGUGAAUAAUGGUCAAAUGGGAUGGGUCAUGUCCAUGUCUGCUGGAGUGUUUGCCAACAUGUUAUCCAUAACCUCUUGAUAAGCAACAGUGUUCAAGAGCCGGUGACUGUGAAGACCAGCGCGUGUGAUUCACAUCAUUUUAAGUGCACCCUUGUGACCUGUGCUCAUAUUUUGCAGUGAUGAUUCAUCUGGCUGUCCUAGCCUCCUGGCCUUGGAAGUGCUCCAACUGUCAGUCACCCAACAUCGUCUGUGUAGAAAAUGAAUGGGACUUUUACUUUCAGAGCCAUGGAGGCUUAAAAUACCUCAUCCAACUUUGCUGGACUAUGAAAAAUCACUAAAAAUGUUAACUUAUAGGAGAUUUAAGAUAGAGAUGCAACAUAUUCAUGUUAAGAUGCUUAAAAAGCAGCACAAUUAAUG